rnacentral:rRNA from 1 species
AACCCGGUUGAUCCUGCCGGACCCGACCGCUAUGGGGGUGGGACUAAGCCAUGCAAGUCGCGCGCCCCGGGCAACGGCGGGGCGCGGCGGACGGCUCCGUAAAACGUGGCUAACCUACCCUCGGGACGGGGAUAACCCCGGGAAACUGGGGCUAAUCCCCGAUAGG